AUGUCCAGCUCCCUGGUUCUCCUCUUCUUGGCUGCCCUGGUUCAUGCUGGCCAGAUGGCCAUCACCCUGGAGCAGAAAGUUAUCUCCAUAACCCUAAACAUCAAAGAGUCUGCCAUGCUGAGCUGCCAGAUUUUGGGCCCAAAGUUCGACCAUAUCCACUGGUACCGCUUCCAGGAGGGGAGGGCCCCUGAACACCUCCUCCAUUACUCCAUGAGCAAUUCACAGUCUGCUCUGGACCCAGGAUUCAGCUCUGAGAAACUCAGGGCUUAUAAGAGGAAGGAUGACAUCUGUAGACUAGUAGUGAGUAAUCUCGAAGUGAGCGACUCUGGAAUAUAUCACUGUGCCAUCUGGGACGGACCACAGCGGCACACGUCACCCUGGCUCCUGAACAAAAAAUGUCACCUUGAAUAG